AAUAGAUACCCGGGUAGUCCACCCCGUAAACGUUGAGAACUAGUUGUGGGGUCCUUUCCACGGAUUCCGUGACGCAGCUAACGCAUUAAGUUCCCCGCCUGGGGAGUACGGCCGCAAGGCUAAAACUCAAAGGAAUUGACGGGGACCCGCACAAGCGGCGGAGCAUGCGGAUUAAUUCGAUGCAACGCGAAGAACCUUACCAAGGCUUGACAUACACCAGAACACCCUAGAAAUAGGGGACUCUUUGGACACUGAUGAACAGGUGGUGCAUGGUUGUCGUCAGCUCGUGUCGUGAGAUGUUGGGUUAAGUCCCGCAACGAGCGCAACCCUCGUUCUAUGUUGCCAGCACGUAAUGGUGGGAACUCAUGGGAUACUGCCGGGGUCAACUCGGAGGAAGGUGGGGAUGACGUCAAAUCAUCAUGCCCCUUAUGUCUUGGGCUUCACGCAUGCUACAAUGGCCGGUACAAAGGGCUGCAAUACCGUGAGGUGGAGCGAAUCCCAAAAAGCCGGUCCCAGUUCGGAUUGAGGUCUGCAACUCGA
rnacentral:rRNA from 1 species